ACGCAGGUCCUUUUUUUUUUUUUCUUUUUCUUUUUUCAUUUCCCAGAUACAGCUGAUCGAGUUCGCCGAGUGGCCGAGCGAGUGAGCGCUCCUCCGACUUGGGUGGAGGAAGAGAGAACCAUUCUCUGCUUUCAAUAGGACAGAAGAGCUCCUUGGCACUGGAUGCCUCCGGGUCUGGUUGAGAGAGGAAUGGUUAGGAGACUGUUCUGAGGAUACGCAGACAUCAUCCAAAGCUUCCUACAUUCAGAUGAGGACAGAGGUUGGGCCAGAGCUUUGUAUGCUUGUUACCUAAGGAUGGUUCUGACCAUGUAAGCAGAUCACAGAAGCACUGUUCACAAUAGCAAAGACUUGGAACCAAUCCAAAUGCCCAUCAAUGAAAACCUGGAUAAAGAAAAUGUGGCACAUACACAGCAUGGAAUACUAUGCAGCCAUAAAUAAGGAUGAAUUCAUGUCCUUUGCAGGGACAUGGAUGAAGUUGGAAACAUCAUUCUCAGCAAACUAACAUCUGGAGGUUCAGAAGUCUGACAUCAGAAUGUCUGGGCUGAAAUCAAGGCGUUGGCAAGGCGGUGCUCCCUCCAAGGCUCUAGGAGAGAAUCUUUUUCUUGCCUUUUCUGGUGUCUAGUGGCUGCCAGCAUUACCUGGCUUGUGGCCACAUCAGUACAAUUUUCAAGGAUGCUUGUGACUGCAUUUAGAGCACAUCUGAAAAAUG
rnacentral:antisense_RNA from 1 species